CACACAACUGAAUCUGAAAGUAAACUUCACCUCGACUUGGGCCAGCGUAGCCUACCAACGCACUUCUAUUUCGCAUUGAGGAUUUAAUAACCUGUCUAACCCCACACAUUGAAACCACGUCUAAUUAGGAGUAGCUGAAGAUGGAGGUUCCCCUAGAGGGGGAUGUGCAGGGCAGCCCUGGAGAAGGAUCCAGUCCAGAAGAAGACAGCAGCCAUGGACAUGUGGGUCCGAUGCAGCAUAAGAGACCAUCCUCUCCUGUGCCGAGCUGUGUAUCCAUGAAGAGUGACUGGUCCAUGGAUCUCCCUCUGCACUUCAGAGCUGAUGUUCCUGCUGGUCAGAGGUGUGUA